rnacentral:rRNA from 1 species
CACGUAGGCGGGUAUUUAAGUCAGGGGUGAAAUCCCGGAGCUCAACUCCGGAACUGCCUUUGAUACUGGGUACCUAGAGUAUGGAAGAGGUAAGUGGAAUUCCGAGUGUAGAGGUGAAAUUCGUAGAUAUUCGGAGGAACACCAGUGGCGAAGGCGGCUUACUGGUCCAUUACUGACGCUGAGGUGCGAAAGCGUGGGGAGCAAACAA